AGAGUUUGAUCCUGGCUCAGGAUGAACGCUGGCGGCGUGCCUAACACAUGCAAGUCGAGCGAUUCUCUUCGGAGAAGAGCGGCGGACGGGUGAGUAACGCGUGGGUAACCUGCCCUGUACACACGGAUAACAUACCGAAAGGUAUGCUAAUACGAGAUAAUAUGCUUUUAUCGCAUGGUAGAAGUAUCAAAGCUUUUGCGGUACAGGAUGGACCCGCGUCUGAUUAGCUAGUUGGUAAGGUAACGGCUUACCAAGGCGACGAUCAGUAGCCGACCUGAGAGGGUGAUCGGCCACAUUGGAACUGAGACACGGUCCAAACUCCUACGGGAGGCAGCAGUGGGGAAUAUUGCACAAUGGGCGAAAGCCUGAUGCAGCAACGCCGCGUGAGCGAUGAAGGCCUUCGGGUCGUAAAGCUCUGUCCUCAAGGAAGAUAAUGACGGUACUUGAGGAGGAAGCCCCGGCUAACUACGUGCCAGCAGCCGCGGUAAUACGUAGGGGGCUAGCGUUAUCCGGAAUUACUGGGCGUAAAGGGUGCGUAGGUGGUUUCUUAAGUCAGAGGUGAAAGGCUACGGCUCAACCGUAGUAAGCCUUUGAAACUGGGAAACUUGAGUGCAGGAGAGGAGAGUGGAAUUCCUAGUGUAGCGGUGAAAUGCGUAGAUAUUAGGAGGAACACCAGUGGCGAAGGCGGCUUUCUGGACUGUAACUGACACUGAGGCACGAAAGCGUGGGGAGCAAACAGGAUUAGAUACCCUGGUAGUCCACGC
rnacentral:rRNA from 1 species